rnacentral:rRNA from 1 species
UCCGUAGGUGAACCUGCGGAAGGAUCAUUACAGAGUUCAUGCCCUUACGGGUAGAUCUCCCACCCUUGAAUUAUACUACAUUGUUGCUUUGGCAGCCGUCACACGCUGCCAGAGGAUAAACCAAACUCUUUUUAAUAUGUCGUCUGAGCAUUAUAUAAUAGUUAAAACUUUCAACAACGGAUCUCUUGGUUCUGGCAUCGAUGAAGAACGCAGCGAAAUGCGAUAAGUAAUGUGAAUUGCAGAAUUCAGUGAAUCAUCGAAUCUUUGAACGCACAUUGCGCCCCUUGGUAUUCCGGGGGGCAUGCCUGUUCGAGCGUCAUUAUAACCCUCAAGCCUAGCUUGGUGUUGGAGCAUGCCCUUGGGCAGCUCUUAAAAUCAGUGGCAGUGCCUCUCGGCUCUAAGCGUAGUAAUACUUCUCGCUAUAGUGUCCGUUGGGUCCGCGCCAGAACCCCUAAUUUUUCUAUGGUUGACCUCGGAUCAGGUAGGGAUACCCGCUGAACUUAA